UAUGAGCUGUGAAAUCUCAAUACACAUGAGC
rnacentral:piRNA from 2 species